CUGUUGUAAAACACUGAACCAAACAAAACAGUUAAUUUUACAGUAAGAAUAUGUUAAAAUAAUCAUAUUUAUUUGCUGAAUUUACAGAUUACUGCAAUUUAAACAGAAAAAAACUGUAAUAUACAGACAGCAAUACAUUGCAAUUAAAAUUACAACAUGACAGUGUUAAAAUUUUUUGUCAUGCAGAUUUUCUAUAGACUAUACAGAAAGUAAGCAUACUAUUUAUAAAUUCAUGUUACCUAUACUUUACAGAUGAUAAUAUGUUCAAGUACAAAAAUUAUGUUAUGUAAAACAGGCAAUGGGUCUGUUAAAGUAGGCCUAACAAAAUCAGAAAUUGCAUGAAUUUUUAUCUGUCUUCCAAAUGGACAGUUAAGGAUUAGUAGGCUACAAUAACUGUUCAUUAUAGAAAAAUGAUUUGAUUGUUAAUCAGAUGUAAAUUAAAAAAACAUUGUUUAUAUAUUUUUUUUUAUUUACAGAAUAAUUUCAUUUAGUAAUAUUUAUAAUGCAUUUUGUCCAUGUAAAAUUUACAUUCCCGUGUAAAUGAACGUCUGUAUUUGAAUGUCAACCCAUGAGCAGCAGAUUUCGGAUUAUCGCGGGAGCAGCCAUUUUGACGAACUUCACGGGUCGUUAGUAAGCGCGCGCCACUUCUGCCAGCGAGCACAUGAGGUUGUGAGGGAUGACAUGUAAAAUCGUCAUCUGUCGCACUGGUAAGUGAACAGUUCGUUUUCUUAAACUCAAAAACACAUUAAAGUACAAGCAUAUGUUUGUGACUGAUAUUUUGUCUUCAUAACGAUGCUGACGGACUGGGGGUUAAUUAGAUUGUGGGUUUUUUUUUUGUCAUUUCAUGCUGCGUAGUGUUUUUGCAGUUACCCGAGUACAGUAAAAAUCAAGCGACUUUGUUAGUUUGAUAAAAUGAUUACCUGUCGUUUUUGCAGCAAAACACUAGAGACAUUGAGGGGUUAUGUGCUGCACUGUAGAGUUCAUAGGAACGAACCCCGAUGUUUUUUCAAAUGUGUUGGCGCUGACUGCAAACGGACAUUUUGUACGUACGCAGCUUUUAAAGCUCAUUUCUAUCGGGUUCACAAUGAGUCUGCACCCCCUGUUACUGCUGGAGCCUUUGUUACAGAUUUUAAAUGUGCCAUUUCGCUGUGUGAUCAACAAUUUCACACAGUUAAAGAACUUAUAUGCCACUUAAAAGAGCAUAUAGUGGAGGGGCGACCUGUGGCAUGUCCAGUAACAGGUUGUAAAAAUACGUUCACUGUGAAAUCAUCGUUUACUGCACAUAUGUCCAGGAAGCAUCGAGCAUGUUCGGUUGAUAGCAUAAGUGACGUUUACAGGGAAACUAUUUCUCCGUCAUGUACUGUCAUCGCAUGUGGAGAUGCUUCCCAAAGCUCAAAUGAUGCAACAACAAAUGAAAGCAUUGAAUUGCCACAGAAUUUCAAUGAGUCCUUUCUUAGGAAUGUAUGUUUACUGUACCUAAAAUUGCAAGGGCAGCUCCUCCUUCCAGCUUCAACAAUACAGACAAUUGUUGAAGAGAUGCAAAAUGUACAUGAGUUAGGACAAGAUUACACUUUAAGUAAACUGCGGUCACUUUUAAAAAAUGAUAUGUCUCUUACAGAUGAUGUUGUCAGUAAAGUCUAUGAUUGUGUAAAGGAUUCAGAUUUGUUCUCUUUCUGUCAUAAGGGACCACUGAGAACAAUAUAUUCAAGAGCUCAGACAUUCAAAAAAAUGUUCCAUUACAUAGAGCCUCAGAAAGUAACAUUAGGAAAUGAUGAAAAUAUGCAACAAAGGUUUGCAUACUACAUACCUGUAAAGCAAACAUUAAGUAACUUAAUGGAAUCAGAAUUUUGGAAGAAUUCAGUGUCACAACCAUCUUGUGAAACAGACUCAGAUGAUUUUAGUGACAUAAGUGAUGGCAAAAGUCCAACCAGUUCUUCAUUGAAAAUCCAGAAUGCCUGAAACUAAUUCUCUACCAGGAUGCUUUUGAAAUUGUAAAUCCCCUCGGCUCUGCUAAGAAAAAGCACAAAGUUGUGGCAGUCUAUCUUUCUGUAGCUAAUUUACCUAUUCAUGUUCGGUCCAAUACUGAUCACAUGUCCCUUGUCUUAUUGUGUUUAGAGAAUGACUUGAAACAAUUUGGAUGUGCUGAGGUUUUCUCUGAGAUGUUAGUGGAUUUAAAAGAUUUGGAGGAAAAUGGAAUAACUGUAGGUGGUGAAACAGUCAAAGGAGCUUUGUAUUGUAUUGCCGGUGAUAAUUUAGGUUCACACAGCAUUGGUGGGUUUACUGAAAAUUUCAGUCGUUCUAAGUACUUUUGCAGGUACUGUGAAAUCACGCGAAACGAGUUUCAAAAUGAUGACCCAAAUGUUUGUGGUCCACAGCGCAGCCCUGACAAUUACAAUUCUGCGGUUCGUGAUCUACAAACUGAAGACAACAAAGGCAUAAAGAAAUGUCUGACUCUGAGAGAACGUUUCUACGCACCGCUAUCACUGAGGUCUUGCCUGACCUUCCAGAGGUGACAAAAGACAUUUUAGAAGAGACCUUGCAAUCUCUUGGUGUGGAGACAUAUGAUGAUUUUAAUUUUAUUGAGGAAGCUGAUUUGCUGUCAGCGUUGAGGCCAAUUCAAGCCCGAAAAGUCCUUGCUGCAUGGAAGCUGAGAUGCCAGACUCCUGAAAGCAGCAGCAGCAGCUCAUCUCUUGAUACCUCGCCAAGGCCUUCAACAACCUUAGAGUCUCUUUCACCCAGAAGUUCACAAUCAACCUCUUCCAACAACUCCCAAAGCCCUAAUCCAGACUGGGUGGACACCUUUCUGAUACCAUGGGAAAAGUUACCAGAGGAACUGAUGCAGUUAUUAGAGAGAGGAAAACGACCAAGUCCACGACUGAGAAUAGAGAUGGUCCGGAUUGUGGUUCGUGACAUGAUGCAAAAAAAUCCUUGCCCAAGUAAAAAGGAUUCUACUGAAGUUGCCAAAAAGAUGGUGGCGAAAUAUCCCAAAUCAUUGCAAGACAUAAUAGAUGGAGAUGUGAUUGGGCCAGGGUACCACUCUUUGGUUAAGCAACUGCAAUAUAGGAUUGAAAAUGUGAAGCGUUCUACAACCCCAAAAAUAAGAAAACGAAAGCAUCGCACUGAUGAGUCUGACACAGACGAAAUCCCUCCAGAACAGAGAGCAGCAAUGCAGGACACUUACGGAUGCAUUAACUGGGAUGUAAAAUUUCUGCCCCUUGGAGAGACCCCAGAGAGCCAGAGAGAAAAGAAAGAAAAACUGAAGAGGAUGUCUCAGCAAACUGAUACAAAUCUAGAAGAGGUCAAACGUCUAAUGAAGUUGACUUUCUACACACAGCGUAAACAAGUGAACCAGGGGGAAAAUAUUAAAAGUCUUCUGGAAGAGUGGCCAUUUUGGUUCAAAGAACUUGGCAUGGCAGUCCACUUCAAGGAACUUACAGGAAUUGGGCUUAUCGAAACUUUCACGCGGAAUGUGGAUCUGAAGGGGAAACGACUCUUGAACUACUUAAAUACUGUUGGUGUGAACAAGAACUAAAAGUUCCUACAGGCUGUGACAAACCUGAAAGCGAUCAGGGGAGAGCUGAGUGGUUGCUCUGAAGACGUCAAAGAGAUGUUGCUGCUUUUGCUGUCCUACUUUAACGAGAAGGAAGACGCAAUGUUCCGUUAUGUUGAAAACACCCUCCUGGCAGAGGAAGUACAGGUGGACCAAGUUCCUUUGACUCCCACCCUUGUUGUGUGUGGUCAAUCCUGUUUUUCCGCGAAACGGUUCAUGCUGUGUGUGGAUCAGAACAUUAUACUUGACAACAUUCCCUUCCUUCAUUUCUUCCCUGUGCAUGAUGUUUGGGAGCUAUUAUUGCUUCAACAUCCAUUACCCAUCAGAGCUGGCAUCAACCCUGGAGUUUCUGCAGAGGUAUGUCUUCUUGGAUAGGCUUUAUGCAACCAUUUCACUUUA